AGCGAACGCUGGCGGCAGGCUUAACACAUGCAAGUCGAGCGGGCCCUUCGUGGUCAGCUGCUGACGGGUGAGGAACACGUGGGAAGGUACACUUUGGUACGGAAUACUGCUGUGUAGCUAGGGCUAAUACCGGAUACGCUCCUUUGGGAUGAGGCUUGCUGCCGAAGGAUCGGCCCGCGUCUGUUUAGCAAGUUGGUGGUGUAAUGGCCUAUCAAGGCUUGGAUCAUUAGCUGGUAUGAGAGAAUGAGCACCCACUCUGGGAGUAAGACACGGCCCAGAAUCCUACGCGAGGGGGGAGAGGGGGAUAUUGGACAAUGGGGGCAAGCAUGAUCCAGCCAUGCCGGGUAAGUGAUGAAGGCGGUAGGGAAAUGAAGCUCUUUUGUACGGCACGAUAAUGACGGUACCGGAAGAAUAAGCCCCGGCUAACUUCGUG
rnacentral:rRNA from 1 species